UACAGAGGUGGCAAGCGUUGUUCGGAUUUACUGGGCGUAAAGGGUGCGUAGGUGGCUUUGUGUGUCGGGCGUGAAAUCCCACUGCUCAACGGUGGAACGCCGCCCGAAACUGCGAAGCUGGAGUGCAGGAGAGGAGAGCGGAAUUCUUGGUGUAGCGGUGGAAUGCGUUGAUAUCAAGAAGAACACCAGUGGCGUAGGCGGCUCUCUGGAAUGCAACUGACACUGAGGCACGAAAGCGUGGGGAG
rnacentral:rRNA from 1 species